UUCAAUUCAAAUCCACACUCGUGAACUGAAAGCAAGCCAAUUAUGAAUUUUCCACAACUCAGAGAGAGAAUAGCAGGUCAGGCACCUGUAGUCAUACUCGGAUUAGAGCUGGUGAACUGACUACCACCCACUGUCCAUGUUGAGAGUGCUGCAGGCCAGGCCAGCGCAGGCCGCCAUGUCAAGGUCGCUUGUUGAAACUGUCGACGCACAUCCAAAAAAAUCCUCAGCCUUGCAGUGGUUCUACAACCAAAGUGUGCCAGCCAUCCACAUGUCAUGACAGGUGACAACCGAGCUUCCGACUAGACUGGAAGCUGUGCACCCCCAACCCACACGCACCGCAGACAGUUCCCUCGAGGGACCGCUCACCAUGGGAACCCGCGAUUUGCUCGUGGCCACAUCUUUCUAAGGACAUCCACAGAGGACGGGAAGAGCACUGGUUUGCAUCUGGUGGAGGGUCUUCCACUAACUCAAUAUGGCCACAGUCUCAGCUGUGGUCUAUUUCUCAUGCUUCAUGUGCUGGGACAUCUUUCCUUCCUUUCACCUUAUCAUCAUGAAUUCCAGCCUCCCGGACUCUUUCUCUCUCUUCGUGUAGUAAUGGGAAUCAACACUGAAUAAAAGGAAAUUAAAG
rnacentral:lncRNA from 1 species